rnacentral:lncRNA from 1 species
CAUCUUUUCUCAGCUUCCCUGUUCCUUUCUGUGGUUUACAGAUGAGGCUUCAGGCUUGACCAAAUCUGACCGGCUGGCUGCCGGAGACACUGCUAUCCACUGGCCGUUAAUAAAUGGCCUCAUUUGAUCAUCAUGUGAUCUUCAGAAGCUGGGCUUGAUUAUCCUUGCCAAACAAAAUGCUGAAACCAAAAAUCUGAAAGAAAUCAAAGGUUUCGCCAUCAUGUAAACCCUUGGGCGA